rnacentral:rRNA from 1 species
AGAGUUUGAUCCUGGCUCAGAAUCAACGCUGGCGGCGCGCCUAACACAUGCAAGUCGAACGAGAAAGUGGAGCAAUCCAUGAGUACAGUGGCGUACGGGUGAGUAACACGUGGGUAAUCUACCUUUUAGUGAGGAAUAACCAAGGGAAACUUUGGCUAAUACCGCAUAAGCCUGAGAAGGGAAAGUCGAAAGACGCUGAAAGAGGAGCCCGCGGCCGAUUAGCUAGUUGGUGGGGUAAGAGCCCACCAAGGCAGAGAUCGGUAGCCGGCCUGAGAGGGCACACGGCCACACUGGCACUGAAACACGGGCCAGACUCCUACGGGAGGCAGCAGUGGGGAAUCUUGCACAAUGGGGGAAACCCUGAUGCAGCGACGCCGCGUGAGCGAUGAAGCCCUUCGGGGUGUAAAGCUCUUUCGUCAGGGAAGAUAGUGACGGUACCUGGAGAAGCAGCUGCGGCUAACUACGUGCCAGCAGCCGCGGUAAUACGUAGGCAGCAAGCGUUGUUCGGAGUUACUGGGCGUAAAGGGUGUGUAGGCGGUUCUUUAAGUUCGCUGUGAAAUCUCCCGGCUUAACCGGGAGGGUGCGGUGAAUACUGAGGGACUAGAGUACGGGAGAGGAAAGUGGAAUUCCUGGUGUAGCGGUGAAAUGCGUAGAUAUCAGGAGGAACACCGGUGGUGUAGACGGCUUUCUGGACCGUAACUGACGCUGAGACACGAAAGCGUGGGUAGCAAACAGGAUUAGAUACCCUGGUAGUCC